rnacentral:rRNA from 1 species
AUUGAACGCUGGCGGCAUGCUUUACACAUGCAAGUCGAACGGUAACAGGCCGCAAGGUGCUGACGAGUGGCGAACGGGUGAGUAAUGCAUCGGAACGUGCCCAGUCGUGGGGGAUAACGCAGCGAAAGCUGCGCUAAUACCGCACACGAUCUAUGGAUGAAAGCGGGGGACCGUAAGGCCUCGCGCGAUUGGAGCGGCCGAUGUCAGAUUAGGUAGUUGGUGGGGUAAAGGCUCACCAAGCCAACGAUCUGUAGCUGGUCUGAGAGGAUGACCAGCCACACUGGGCCUGAGACACGGCCCAGACUCCUACGGGAGGCAGCAGUGGGGAAUUUUGGACAAUGGGCGCAAGCCUGAUCCAGCAAUGCCGCGUGCAGGAAGAAGGCCUUCGGGUUGUAAACUGCUUUUGUACGGAACGAAACGGUCCUGGUUAAUACCUGGGGCUAAUGACGGUACCGUAAGAAUAAGCACCGGCUAACUACGUGCCAGCAGCCGCCGUAAUAC